rnacentral:rRNA from 1 species
ACGGGAGGCAGCAGUGGGGAAUAUUGCACAAUGGGGGAAACCCUGAUGCAGCGACGCCGCGUGGAGGAAGAAGGUCUUCGGAUUGUAAACUUCUGUUGUUAGGGACGAUAAUGACGGUACCUAACAAGGAAGCCACGGCUAACUACGUGCCAGCAGCCGCGGUAAAACGUAGGUGGCAAGCGUUGUCCGGAAUUACUGGGUGUAAAGGGAGCGCAGGCGGAACGACAAGUUAGAAGUGAAACCCAGAGGCUCAACCGGUGGCCUGCUUCCGAAACUGCCGUUCUUGAGUAGUGUAGAGGUAGGCGGAAUUCCCAGUGUAGCGGUGAAAUGCGUAGAUAUCAGGAGGAACACCAGUGGCGAAGGCGGCCUACUGGGCACCAACUGACGCUGAGGCUCGAAAGUGUGGGUAGCAAACAGGAUUAGAUACCCUGGUA